rnacentral:tRNA from 1 species
GGGGCUAUAGCUCAGCCGGCUAGAGCACUACACUGGCAGUGUAGGGGUCAUGGGUUCGAAUCCCAUUAGCUCCACCA